rnacentral:rRNA from 1 species
AUUUGCCUUUAGGAGGGGGACAACAACUGGAAACGGUUGCUAAUACCCCAUAUGCUUUCGAGUGAAAUGGAUAUUUCCGCCUAGAGAGAAGCUUGCGGCUGAUUAGCUUGUUGGUGGGGUAACGGCCUACCAAGGCGACGAUCAGUAUCUGGUUUGAGAGGACGAUCAGACACACUGGAACUGAGACACGGUCCAGACUCCUACGGGAGGCAGCAGUGGGGAAUUUUCCGCAAUGGGCGAAAGCCUGACGGAGCAAUACCGCGUGAGGGAUGACGGCCUAUGGGUUGUAAACCUCUUUUUUCAGGGAGGAAUAAAAUGACGUGUACCUGAAGAAUAAGCAUCGGCUAACUCCGUGCCAGCAGCCGCGGUAAGACGGAGGAUGCAAGUGUUAUCCGGAAUCACUGGGCGUAAAGCGUCUGUAGGUGGUCAAAUAAGUCAACUGUUAAAUCUUGGGGCUCAACCUCAAAACCGCAGUCGAAACUAUUAGACUAGAGUAUAGUAGGGGUAAAGGGAAUUUCCAGUGGAGCGGUGAAAUGCGUAGAGAUUGGAAAGAACACCGAUGGCGAAGGCACUUUACUGGGCUAUUACUAACACUCAGAGACGAAAGCUAGGGUAGCAAAUGG